CGCCUCCCCUUCCAGGCUUCCACCAUCGCCGCCGCCCCCUCCCCUUCCACCAUGGCCGCCGCCCCCUCCCCUUCCACCGUGGCCGCCGCCCCCUAUCGCCCGACGGCGAGCCCGCCCUCCCGUCCCCCUCUCCUCUGGUCGCCCUCACACACUACAUUGCCUCCUGGUCGUCCUCUCUCUCCCUCUCUCUGUGUGUGUGUGUAUUCCCCCCUGCCGUCACCACCACGGCCAACUCCGGCGAGGUCCGCCGCCAUACAGCACAUCCACGAGCUCAUCUCGUCACACUGCUCCUUCUCCACCGCGUUGACCUGACGUGCCUCCCCUCUAAGCGCGGCCCCGGCUAACCCUAGCGCUACGGUCGCCGGUCCACAGCGUCGCCAUCAACGCCCGCGCUGCGCCUGCACCUCCGGUUGGUCCUCCCCGACCCCGUCCGAACUUUCGCGCACUGCAUCGCCUCCUGGCCACUGUCCAGGCGUCGCCAUCGACUGGAGGAGCGCGGGACCGUCGUCCUCGCGUUCGUGCACCUCCAGGAAGAAGACUUCUCGAGGUGAGGCGCCUCAGAUCCGUCGUGCGAAGGUGGAGCAGCUCCAGAGGGACGUACGUCAAGGUAGCCACUGCUCCGUAGAAGAUCUGAGUUCAAAAAGAUUGCAUGACACCACAUCCUGGGUUUGGUGGGCGAGCUCACUGUCGUCCGCCUCGAGCUGGUCUGGAGUCUGAGUACGGCCCUUGAUUUGUGCCGUCCGUUUUCUCUGCCGAAGUCGUGGUUCCGUGGACGCGGCUAUGGUCGAAGGGUCUCACCAGCGUGGCACCGGCGCCUCCCUUCCCUCUCCCCUGGAGCUGGAAGAAAUUGCAGUUGAUGGAAUUAAAACUUGGAUGUGAUCAAAUUAGGUAUUGCUUGAGCUGAAAGUUGGAUCAGAAGGACGGCCUGUCGUCAAGUAGGACAGCAGAAUCGUAGAACUCUACAAAGUGUAUGGGUUGGCCAGCUCUUGAGCAAAUUCGUCAUAGCGACCGCCGAUGGCCUACAAGUCCAUCUCUUUCUCAAGCUCGAUUGCCUCUUAUUUUGCAGACUGAAAGAUGAGAUGAGGGGUAGUAGUACUUACUGAGAAUUCCUUCAAUUGGUUAAUUGAUGUGCAUCUCCAAGAAGCAUACAGGUUAGCUUAUGCAAAGAUUUUCCUUCUUAUGUCCAGAGGUUCUUGAGACAUGGCGCAAUGCCGAUGUGAUGUGCUUCGAUAUGAAUGGUAAUAAAUGUUUGGGUGAGGGUAGUGAUGAGCUUGCUGGUUUCUGUGCGGCUGGGCAGGCAGUUGAUGAGUGGACGCGAGUGGACAACGAAGUAGUGUCACAUUUUCUGUAGUAUGUUAGUGUUCAUCAUAUAUAAUAUCUUAAGAACUAAACUUGGUCUAUUGUUUUCAGGGCAAUGACAGGGACCGUUCCAUUUAAGAGGCUCCUGCUGCCUGGAUUUUGUUAAGCAAGCCUACAUUAAGUUAAUUCAAGAAGUUAAUCACUAAUUAGUUGUUGUAUUUUCAUUCCUACAUGGAUCUUUUGACAUUCCACAACUUUCUUAUUCUUACUUGGGAUCAUUUGAUAUGUGUCGUUGAACAUAACAGAGCGCUCUUAGGAAUCCCUAGCUGAUUUAACUCGGUUUCUCUAUUUACACCAAUAUGAAAGGUAUUAGCUGCAUUAUAUAGAAAAUUGGUUUGGUACCGCACGAAAAAAAAACCAUUUUGGGAUAAUACCACCAUAUAGACUAGGUUCAUUUUAAUACCACUAAAUGAGAUAAAAAUACUACCUGCUUAUACCAGUCGUGUCUCCACUUGUCUCCACUAUUAGGAGUUAGGACGAUAUGUGGUCAAAUUUGCAUGUCCUUGAAAAUAUUUACAUUUUGAUAUAUGUUAUAUUUGGAUGUCACCAAGAUUUAGGUUUAGAAUAUCUAAGAUUUCCAUCUAUGUUUUUUGUUAGAACAGUAAACAAGGAUAUGUUUCUUCUCUCGGAUCUAGAAACCAUGAUUCCUCUUUUCUUGACUUGUGAUGAUUUUUUUAUAUAAAUUUCUUUUAGUAGUGACCGAGCUUCUGAAAUGAAUAAUUUUGGCAAAAAUCUCAAUUCGAUAUUCCGUUCUGCGGCUCAAAGGUUGAAGACUACCGUCGGGAACUGCCCAGUUAAGUCUACCAGGAUUCCACAUGCUAACCUCGGCAAGCACAAACCGCAUGUUCUUCUUCCUCUCUGGCCGCCUCCACACCAUUAUGGAUGUCACAGACCUCAUCCUCCAGAAGCUCCUCUACCAGGUGGCAGCUAGCAGCGUCGGAAGCUCGAGGCUCUGGUUCCCCUUCCAGCAGUGCGGGGCUGCCAUCCCGAAGUAGCAUCAUCUCCCCGCUGCUCUACAUCUAGAUCAUGGGACCAUCAACUCCCCGUCCAUACCACAACUUUCUCAAGUUGGUACUAUUUUGAUUUGUGAUCCGGUCUAUAAAAGGGGGAUCAAAGAAUAAACCAAUUGGCCAGACUUUGUUGAGGCGGCAGUGAUGAAAGAAUAUCAGAUACGUGUCUUCGCCUUCAAGAUUAAAAGGGGAAACCAUCGCUCACUGUCCAUACGCUUUAAAAGGCU